GUGGCUUGCUCUCUCGCUUUCUCUCUCUCUCUGUCUCUCUCUGGUCAAAUUAAAAUAAAAUGAAUGAAUAAAUAAAAUUUUUUAAAAAAGAGAACACGAGGUAGUCAAGUUUCCAAAACUCCAGACACAUCCAUAUGAGGUGCUGCAUGUGACAGUCUGCCUUUCUUU
rnacentral:snRNA from 1 species